AACGAACGUUGGCGGCGUGGAUUAGGCAUGCAAGUCGAACGAGAAAGGUCUCUUCGGAGACCGAGUAAAGUGGCGAACGGGUGAGUAAUGCAUAGGACAACUUGCCCCCGAGAUGGGAACAACGCUCCGAAAGGAGCGCUAAUACCCAAUAGCAUCCGGACCCCACGGGAUCUGGAUGAAAGGAGGCCUCUGACUCAAGCUUCCGCUCAGGGAGAGGUUUAUGUCCAUUAGCNGUUGGUGAGGUAACGGCU
rnacentral:rRNA from 1 species